GAAUCCUUAGACCCCAUAGUGAAUAUGCGGCUGCCUACCUUGACGAUGUGGUUAUACACAGCACAGAUUGGGAAACACACCUUCCCCGAGUUCAGGCAGUAAUAAAGUCUAUACGAGAUGCAGGUCUAACUGCCAAUCCAUCCAAAUGUACGAUAGGUUUGGAAGAGGCUAAGUAUUUGGGCUACACUAUUGGGAGGGGUCUUCUGAAACCACAGAAAAGUAAGGUAGAUGCUAUUUGGGAUUGGCCACGUCCUAUGACAAAGAAACAAGUCAGGGCAUUUCUAGGCUUAGUGGGCUACUACCGUAGAUUCAUACCUAACUUUGCUACGAUCGCAAACCCGUUGACAGAGAUAACUUAGGCAAAAGGCCCUGUUAUGAUAAAGUGGACUCCCGAGGCAGAGAAGGCAUUUAGUACCCUGAAGGAGGUUUUGUGUGCUGACCCAAUUUUGGUUGCCCCAGAUUUUACGAAAGAAUUUGUGGUACAGACAGAUGCGUCUGAUGUGGGCCUAAGAGCGGUUCUUUCUCAAGUACACAGAGGAGAAGAACAUCCCAUUUGUACCUGAGCAAAAAGCUGAAUCCCCAUGAACAGAGAUACUCAGUGGUUGAGAAAGAAUGUUUGGCCAUAAAAUGGGCACUAGAAACACUUAAGUAUUAUC